rnacentral:misc_RNA from 1 species
UCACAGUUUACACUGGCAGUCUUGUUAGAGUUCCCGACUUGACUCGCUGGCAACUAACAACAGGGGUUGCGCUCUUUAUAGGACUUAACCUGACACCUCACGGCACGAGCUGACGACAACCAUGCAGCACCUUGUAAAUUGUCCGAAGAAAAGUCUGUUUCCAAACCUGUCAAUCUACAUUUAAGCCUUGGUAAGGUUCCUCGCGUAUCAUCGAAUUAAACCACAUGCUCCACCGCUUGUGCGGGCCCCCGUCAAUUCCUUUGAGUUUCAUUCUUGCGAACGUACUCCCCAGGCGGGGCACUUAAUGCGUUAGCGGCGGCACGGGAGGAGUCGACACCUCCCACACCUAGUGCCCAUCGUUUACAGCGUGGACUAC